UACGUAGGGAGCAAGCGUUGUUCGGAUUUACUGGGCGUAAAGGGUGCGUAGGCGGCCGUGCAAGUCUGGCGUGAAAGCCCCGGGCUCAGCCCGGGAAGUGCGCUCGAAACUGCGCGGCUCGAGUGCCGGAGGGGAGAGUGGAAUUCCUGGUGUAGCGGUGAAAUGCGUAGAUAUCAGGAGGAAUACCGGUGGCGAAAGCGACUCUCUGGACGGCAACUGACGCUGAGGCACGAAAGCGUGGGGAGCAAACAGG
rnacentral:rRNA from 1 species